rnacentral:lncRNA from 1 species
AAAAUAUAAUGAUUUUCUCUCAGUAUAUAAGUGCUCAAAUAACUUCAUUAUAAUUUGAUACAAAUUUUGAAUUUUGUUAUAUAAAAAGGGGAAAAAAAAGUAAUAUGAUUAAAACUUUCAAAUUUGUUUAUGUUAUGAUCGUUUAUAUAGUCCUAUUUUUUGGUUUAAAUGGUAAGGUUUUUUCCAUUAUUUUCCAAAAAAAAAAUAUUUACCUUACACAUUAUUUACUUAUUAUCUUUCAUUAACCCUAAUAUUUUAAUGUUUUACUUCGCAGGAAGAACUUGGCCUUGUCGUGUUGAUAUACAUUGUCUUCCUAAUUUAUGUCAACCUUACAAAUCUAUCUGUACUAAUUAUCAAUGUACUUGCUUCAAAAGUUAAAAAUUGAUUAUAUAGAUAAAAAAAACAUGUAAAUAUUCAAAAAAAAAUAGCAUAGGUGGGAUAUGAAAUAUCCAGCACCCAACCAUUAGAUUAGAUAUUUUAUUUUAAAAAUUAAUGUCACACUUUAUAGCAUAUUUAUCUUACAAUAUAUAACUAUUAAUAAAACUAUCUUUUAAUCUUAAAUAAUUAUCUAAUAUUCGAAUAUUCAAUUAUAAAUUAUUAU